rnacentral:rRNA from 1 species
GAUGAACGCUGGCGGCGUGCCUAAUACAUGCAAGUCGAGCGAACGGACGAGAAACUUGCUUCUCUGAUGUUAGCGGCGGACGGGUGAGUAACACGUGGAUAACCUACCUAUAAGACUGGGAUAACUUCGGGAAACCGGAGCUAAUACCGGAUAAUAUUUUGAACCGCAUGGUUCAAAAGUGAAAGACGGUCUUGCUGUCACUUAUAGAUGGAUCCGCGCUGCAUUAGCUAGUUGGUAAGGUAACGGCUUACCAAGGCAACGAUGCAUAGCCGACCUGAGAGGGUGAUCGGCCACCCUGGAACUUAGGCACGGUCCAGACUCCUACGGGAGGCAGCAGUAGGGAAUCUUCCGCAAUGGGCGAAAGCCUGACGGAGCAACGCCGCGUGAGUGAUGAAGGUCUUCGGAUCGUAAAACUCUGUUAUUAGGGAAGAACAUAUGUGUAAGUAACUGUGCACAUCUUGACGGUACCUAAUCAGAAAGCCACGGCUAACUACGUG